GACAUAGGUGGCGAACGUUAUCCGGAUUUAUUGGGUUUAAAGGGUGCGUAGGCGGGCUAUUAAGUCAGUGGUGAAAGCCCCAAGCUUAACUUGGGAACUGCCAUUGAUACUGAUGGUCUUGAGUACAUUUGAGGUGGGCGGAAUGUGUCAUGUAGCGGUGAAAUGCUUAGAUAUGACACAGAACACCGAUUGCGAAGGCAGCUCACUAAACUGUAACUGACGCUGAGGCACGAAAGCGUGGGGAGCAAACAGG
rnacentral:rRNA from 1 species